AGAGGGUGAGAAUCCCGUGCGAUGAGAUGAUCCAGGCCUAUGUAAAGUUCCUUCGAAGAGUCGAGUUGUUUGGGAAUGCAGCUCUAAGUGGGUGGUAAAUUCCAUCUAAAGCUAAAUAUUGGCGAGAGACCGAUAGCGAACAAGUACAGUGAUGGAAAGAUGAAAAGAACUUUGAAAAGAGAGUGAAAAAGUACGUGAAAUUGUUGAAAGGGAAGGGCUUGAGAUCAGACUUGGUAUUUUGUAUGUUACUUCUUCGGGGGUGGCCUCUACAGUUUAUCGGGCCAGCAUCAGUUUGGGCGGUAGGAGAAUUGCGUUGGAAUGUGGCACGGCUUCGGUUGUGUGUUAUAGCCUUCGUCGAUACUGCCAGCCUAGACUGAGGACUGCGGUUUAUACCUAGGAUGUUGGCAUAAUGAUCUUAAGUCGCCCGUCUUGAAACACGGACCAAGGAGUCUAACGUCUAUGCGAGUGUUUGGGUGUAAAACCCGUACGCGUAAUGAAAGUGAACGUAGGUGGGGGCCCGUAUGGGUGCACCAUCGACCGAUCCUGAUGUCUUCGGAUGGAUUUGAGUAAGAGCAUAGCUGUUGGGACCCGAAAGAUGGUGAACUAUGCCUGAAUAGGGUGAAGCCAGAGG
rnacentral:rRNA from 1 species